ensembl:lncRNA
AACUAAUUUCAUUGCAAGUGUGAAAAAUAUUUCCUGAAUCUCUAAGUCAUUCUCCAUUUCACCUUCUUCUCAUUCUCUUGGCCUUCUGGGAAUAACUCCUCGCUCCUUAAUUCCAAAGAUGGAGAACUUGUUCUUUUCGCCUCAGACUUGCUAAAGGAUACUCUUAGGCCUAUUUCUCUUCACUUAUUCACUUCAUGACAUAAUACUUUCUUCUCUUCUGAGUUCCAUAAGUUAUACUUCUGCAGAAAAAAAGGAGGAAAAAAGAAGAAAUGGAUAUUGGGAGACAAUGGUUUCUGUCACAGUGCUUAUGAUGUGGCAUGUGAUGCCAAAAUGGAGACACUACCCCAAGCACCCUUGUGACACCCUUGGGGGUUGGACCUGGAUCUGCUGAUCCAGAAGGAACCAUGUGUCAUUCAUGCGGCUUUUGCAUAUUGUUCACUGAAUUACCAAGUAAAGAAUACCUGUACAUCAGCUACACACUGAAACCAAAGAGAGGGUAAAAAAUGAAUUUUUCACUUUUGUGCCAAUAUCAGAAGUUUUAUUUGACUUAUAAAAAGCAGGUAAAAUUAAUUUGCAAAAAAGGAUGAAAAUAAAUAUGGUUAGAAUCAUAAAACCAGCAGAGAUCUCAAUGUGUAGACAAACUGGGCAGGGAUGUCAAGCAGAUGGAGGACAAAUCACCUGCUAUUUCUUAGAGAUGGUAAUAUUUUCCAGUGAGCAGAGAGCUAUGGUAUUCAGUGUCGACAGAGGGAAUUGCUCUUUUAUGGCGGUAAUGAAUCAUUUAGGCGAAGAAUUCAGGCACCUGAGUCACAUUUGCUGCCUCGUGGACUUCAUCAGCCUGGCUCAGAUGCUUCCUGCUUUCCUGGGGGCUUUCAGGAAAAGGCUUUUGACUGAGGAUACUCUGCUUCUUUUCACUUGUCACUGGGUGGAUGUGGUCUGUCCCACAGCAAGUAGUGGAACAAGGUAUCCACCUACAAAUGUGAUUCCUGGAAAGAAAGCUUAGGAAUUCCCCUCAUCCAUUGCAAAAUAAAGAAAUGGAUUUCUGGCCCAUCUGAUUGCUGAAGCUGAAGUUCCAUCACCGGACUACACACCGUGUCUUGGGCUUUGCUUCAGAGUUAACAGGUGACAUUCAAGGAGAUGGUAUCAGUCUUUUAAACAUUGUUGUGCAAACAUUUAUUUAAUUAUAUUCCAAAAUUAGAUGUUAAUAGGAGGAAAGAACAGAAAGACUAUGGAGGAACUGAGCUGGCUAGGGCAAAGGAGACUUUGUAGAAAAGGGAAGACUCCCAAUAAUAACUUCUACUUCUUAUUUACCAAGCAUUGUUCUAGUUGCUUGGUAUAUAUGAUCUAGUUUAAUCCUCUCCAAAUCCUGGCUAUAAGCAAUUCUUAUAUUAUAGAUGAGGCAACAAGGGCCCGUAUAAAUUAAGUAACGUGUCCAAAUUUAGUCAACAAAUGAGUGGUGGAAUUGACAUCUGGACUGGGGUUGACCACUCAGACAUGGACAACGAAGCUCCACGCUGUCUAGCAACUUGCCACUUUGAUAAGGUCCAUCUCAUUUGGGAUCCGCCAUGCUUCCCUCGACCAUCCUUUGUCUAAUGUCACCAGAAUCUCUGCUCAGAUCAUCAAGGACCAGGAACCAGGACAUCUUUAGUUCUACUCACAAUUCUAUCACUAGGAAGUGUGUGACUUUGAGCAAGUCACUCCAAUUCUUUUGUAGUAUUCCUUCGACUGUAAAAUCAGAGUGGGACAGGAUCAGUGGUUUCUAACUGUUUUGAGAGGCAUAGACCUUCCAAUAAUGACCCUUUUUCCCCACCUAAGUGAACUUUCAUACAAAAUUUUGCCCAUAAUUUCACAUUCUUAUGGACUUCCUGAAAUUUGGGUCAGGCUGAGCAUCUCCGCAUUGGAUAGUCUUUCCAUUGUUCUUUGGCGAGGGCUGCUGCUUUAGACUUUUCACCUUCUUCGAUUUUUGGAGGGAUAAGAGGUGGUAGUGGUCGUGGGUUAGGUAAAGUGUCAAAGAAUAAGGAAAAUGUAAAUCUAAUGUAAUUAAAUGGAAGCUAAAUGUCUACAUUUCUGUAACAUAGUAUUUUAUGAACUAUUUUUUAUCAAGAAGAGUAUUAAUUCUUUACCAUUGAGGGGUGCUUGUGAGUAAAUUUCAAUAACGUUUAAUGCUCAGUUUUCUACAAUUCUACUCUUUUUUAAUAAUGAUGAUUAAUAAUAAUAAUAGUAUAUCUAUCAUAUAUUGAACACUUACAUCUAAGUACUGUGCUAAAUGUUUCGCAUGCAUUAUCUUAUCUAAUCUUUGCAAAUAUCCUAUAAAGGAGGUACUAUUGUCACUAUUUUAAAGAUGAGAUUAGAGGCCCAGAGAAGUUGGAAAUGUGUAGAUGUAUUUUUUAAAAAUAUAUAUACUCAGUUUCGAUCUCAGUUUGGCUUCUCUAAUUACUUAAGAUUCUAAAUAAGUACAUCAUUGAACUAAAAUUCAUUGUUGUCAAGCAAAAAUGG